GGGGGCGUGGGCUUGCAGGCUAGGAGGCCUGCGCCUUUAAGAGGCGGGGUUGCGCCCGCUGUGGCGGAAGCGGAUUGGCUGGGAGGAGUCUCCGGAAGUGAUGCUCGGAGAAGCCCACGUGUGCGAUUCCACCCCACAUGGCGGUGCUCCUGAAGAGGUUGCUGCUUCCCGGGAGGCCUCCGGCGGCCUUGGGCCGCCCCGUGGGACGGCGCGAGGUCAGCCUGGGCACUGAUCCCGGGGCUGCGGUGCGAGUGCGGUUCGCCCCCAGCCCCACAGGCUUCUUGCACCUGGGCGGCCUCCGCACUGCCUUAUACAACUACAUCUUUGCCAAGAAGCACCGAGGGAGCUUCAUCCUGAGGCUGGAGGACACGGAUCAGACCCGCCUUGUGCCUGGGGCAGCAGAGAAUAUUGAGGACAUGCUGGAGUGGGCAGGCAUCCCCCCUGAUGAGAGCCCCCGCCGGGGAGGUCCUGUAGGGCCCUACCUGCAGUCUCAGCGACUCGCGCUCUAUGCCCAGGCCACCGAAGCUCUACUGAAGAGUGGCGCUGCGUACCCGUGUUUCUGCUCACCCCAGCGACUGGAGCUCCUGAAGAGGGAGGCCCUUAGGAACCACCAGACACCCCGGUAUGACAAUCGGUGCCGCAGCCUGAGCCAGGCGCAGGUGGCCCAGAAGCUGGCCAAGGACCCCAAGCCUGCCAUUCGCUUCCGCCUGGAAGGGGCGGCGCCAGCCUUCCAGGACUUGGUGUAUGGCUGGAAUCGGCACGAGGUGGCCCGCGUGGAGGGGGACCCGGUCAUCCUGAAGAGCGAUGGCUUCCCCACGUACCACCUGGCCUGCGUGGUGGACGACCACCACAUGCGCGUCAGCCACGUGCUGCGGGGCUGCGAGUGGCUGGCCUCCACCUCCAAGCACCUGCUUCUCUACCAGGCCCUGGGCUGGCAGCCCCCCCACUUUGCCCACCUGCCCCUGCUCCUCAACAGGGAUGGCAGCAAGCUGUCCAAGAGGCAGGGGGACAUCUUCUUGGAGCACUUUGCUGCCGCCGGCUUCCUGCCGGACGCCUUGCUGGACAUCAUCACCAACUGCGGCUCGGGGUUUGCAGAGAACCAGAUGGGCAGGACCUUGCCAGAGCUGAUCACACAGUUUGACCUGACUCGCGUCACCUGCCACUCAGCCCUGCUGGACCUGGAGAAGCUCGCGGAAUUCAACAGGCUGCACCUCUGCCGGCUGGUGAGUGAUGGGACCCAGCGACGCCAGCUGGUGGGGAAGCUGCAGGCCCUCGUGGAGGAGGCGUUCGGGAGCCAGCUUCAGGACAGGAAGGUGCUGGACGCAGCCUACGUGGAGAGGAUUAUCCUGCUGAGACAGGGUCACUUUUGCCGCCUGCAGGAUUUGAUCUCCCCAGUGCACUCCUACCUAUGGACUCGCCCUGCCGUGAGUCGAGCGCAGCUGGACGCCAUCUCAGAGAAUGUGGACGUCAUUGCCAAGCGUGUGCUGGGGCUUUUAGAAGGACCCGGUACGAGCUUAACUCAGGACGUGCUGAAUGGAGAACUGAAGAAGCUGUCAGAAGGUCUGGAAGGCACCAAACACAGUAACGUGAUGAAGCUUCUCCGAGUGGCCCUCAGUGGACAGCUGGUGAGAUGGGCAGCUGGGCUGGACUGUGCCCUGGAGCCUUCAUUUAUCCACUCAACUAACAUUCACCAGCAACACGAAGCUCAGUUUGGGGGCUACAAAGAUGAAUGAAACAUGACCACUCCCCUUCAUUCAACAGACAGUACCUACUGAUGACUUACCCAAGGACCUCCGGUAGCUGAGAUGAUGUUGUCCCUGGGAUCAAAGGAAGUGCGGGAACGAGUACGGAAGGUGCUUUCCAGCUAGAGAGAGUGUGCAGGACAGAGGAGGUGGCCACAGGAGCCGUACGUACUCAUGGGACCUGCCCUCAGAGGGGAGGAGCAGGAGGCCUGGGGCCGUCGGAAUCUUGAGGAAGGAACCAAGAGCGGACACAGCCUCUGGGUGCACAGGUGCGUUCAUGGCUCCGUGGCAGGCCCGUCCUCAUCAGCUGGCCCUGGCGCCCAGCCCCUCUCACCUCCCUGACUCUGGAGAGGAAGGCCUCACGUCUGGUUCUGACACCACAGUACACAGCUGAGGUUAGGAGCUGCUUCACAGGAUAGUCACGGCUCGUGUUCUAAUCUGCUCGGGCUGCCGUGACACAAUACCACAGACGGGUGGCUUAAACGACAGAAAAUGGUUGUCUCACCGUUCUGGAGGCUGGCAGUCCAAGAUCAAGGUGUCAUCAGGUUUCCUUUCUCCUGAGGCCUCUCUCCUGGGCUUCCAGGCGGCUGCCUUUUUGCUCUCUGCUCACGUGGGCUUCCCUCUGUGUGUGCCCUCAGUAUCUGUCCACAUGCCCUCUUCUUAAGAGGACACCAGUCAGAUUGGGUUAAAGCCCACCCUAACGGCCCAGUUUGAGCUCAGUCACUGCUUUAAAGGCCCUGCCUGCAAAUUCAGUCACAUCCUGAAGUCCUAGGAGGUUAGGGCUUCAGCCCAUGAGUUCUGAGAGGAACACGAUUCAGCCUGUGCAUAACAGCUUGGCAGCGGCCUGGACUCCUGGGUCCCGGUUCUCAGGCCCAGUUUGACUUUGGAGCAGUGAUUGACACGCAGGCCUGAAUUGCCUCACCUGACUUCCUUUGGGGCUUGUAAGGGAGAACCUGCUCAUCUGCCAAGGGAAACACUUAGGUUUUAUGCGACUCUUUGUCCUUGGACUUAGAGCAGCCUGUGUCUCCCUUCCCUAAAGGUUGUCUCUUCCUCUUUUCCAGUUCUCCAGGCCUGGUCCUUGGACUGGAGACCUUCACCCUGCCUAUUCUGCACCUUUUUCUUCAUAUUCGCCUCCUCCUUCCACCCAUUAUUUGUAAAUCACUGUCUGAGGGUCUCUGAAAUGAGAUGUUCUUCUUGGGGUGGGUAGGAAUAACUGACGUGAAAGGAGGGUGGUGGCUGGCUACAAAGGCCCCCGACAGGGCUUCUAGGCUUCCCUGGUGUGGCCCCCAGUCAUCGGUGCCUCCUGGCAUUCACACUGAACGGGGCUGACUUCUGUGUGGUGUGUCAUGGCUUCCGUCUUGUUCCCUUGGAUCCCUUACUCCACGGGAAGCCAGCUUCCACAUUGUGAAGGCACUCAGACAGGGAUCGGAGGCCUCCUGACAACAGCUGUGUAAACUGGCCAUCUUGGAAGUCGGUCUUCUAUCCCCAGUCAAGCCUUCAGAUGACUGCAACGCUGGCGGACAGUUGACUGCAGCCUUCUUCUUUUUUUUUUUAAUUGAAGCAUAGUUGCUUUAGAAUAUUGUGUUAGUUUCUGCUGUACAGCAGAGUGAAUCAGCUAUAUGUAUACAUUUAUCCUGUCUUUCUUGGAUUUCCUUCCCAUUUAAGUCACCACAAAGCACUGAGUAGAGUUCCUUGUGCUUUAUGCUAGGUUCUCAUUAGUUAUCUAUUUUAUACAUAAUAAUGUAUAUGUGUCAAUCCCAAUCUCCCAGUUCAUCCCACCCCCCUUUCCCGCUUGGUAUCCAUACAUUUGUCCUCUGUGUCUGUGUCUCUAUUUCUGCUUUGCAAAUAAGUUCAUCUGUACCAUUUUUCUAGAUUUCACAUAUAUGUGUUAACAUAUAAUAUAUUACAAUAUAUGUUUUUCUCUUUUUGACUUCACUCUGUAUGACAGUCUUUAGGUCCAUCCAAGUCUCUACAAAUGGCACAAUUUUGGUUUUUUAUGGCUGAGUAAUAUUCCAUUGUAUAUAUGUACCACAUCUUUAUCCAUCCACAUCUUCUUUGUCCAUGGUGAUGGCCAUUUAGGUUGCUUCCAUGUCCUGGCUGUUGUAAAUAGUGCUGACUGCAGCCUUCUUGAAAGAUUCUGAGCCAGAACCACUAAGCAAAGUUGCUCCUGAAUUUCAGACACACAAUUAUAAGAUAAUAAACAUUUAUUGUUUAAAGCCACUUGGCUCUGGGGUAAUUUGUUACCCAGCAAUAGAUUGCUAAUACAUUCUCCUUGUCCAGGGGAGUAGAGGAAGGGGAUUAAAGAAUUUGUUGUUUCAUAGACACCUAAUCUUUGCUUGAAAAGUAUACCAAAUAAAGUUCUUUGAUGACAAGCAGUGGAAACCAACUCUGUCUAACUUAGGUUUAUUGAAGACUUUAAGUUUAUGGGAGUUUAAGUUUGUGAGAAAGUCAAAGAAUCUAUGGGAAAGCCAAAGAACCAGGUCUUGGAAAAGACAGGAACCAGGCAGCAGGAACUCAUGGCCCGUCUUGUCUAUGUUCUUCAGUCGGAACACAUGAACUUUUAAUUAUUUUCUGUUGUGGUUUCUCUGUAUUUUUCCUGUUCAGUUUUGGAUGACUCAGCUAAAGAAAGAUUCAGAUUCUGAGAAGAGAGUGCCUGGUUGGGCUAACUGAGAUCAUGUUACCAUUCCUCGUCCAGGAAUAGUGGUUCCUCAGGGAUUAUAUCCAACAGAGGAAAAGUUCCCAAGGAGAAGUAGGGUGCUUUUCCCAGAAGAAGGGGCAAUGAUAAAAACAACAGGUAUUGCACUAAAGGGGACACAGAAUAAUAAUGCUUGCAGUUUCUUGUGCAUUUACAUGAGCCUUAACCACUUCCGGGUUUCAGAUCAUGCUGGUACACACUUUAAUCCAUCAUCUCUUUGAAUCUUCACAACCCCACAAGAGAGCCAUUAUUAUUGUUGUUGUUGUUUUUGUUUCUGUGUUUUAGAUAGGGAAACUGGGGCUCAGGAAAGUUGAUCAACUCCUCUGAGGUUUUAGCCUGAGGCUUCUGACAACCCAGAGUCCAACCUCAACUCUUGACUAUUGAGCGACAUCAGAGCCUCUGCUUCUAAGACAUCAAGUAUGCUUAUGAGAAACUCUAGCUCUCGGUUAAGGAAUGUGACCAUUCUAGCAAAGUGAGUGAUCAGACUGCUGAGUUAGUAAAGCUGUGGCCGCUUCCUCAGUUGGAGUGAAUUGUCUGAGGAGCAUGUAUCCUCUGCUCUGGGGUUUUUCUCAGGAUCAGAAGGGUUGUAUGAAAGGACGUCACAGAUUUUAAAUAACCUCAAGUCCCCGGUGUUUAAAUAACCUCAACCCCCAGGGUCUUUUUGGAGAAUAGUGAAGUGGUGAAGGCCAUGGAGGCCAACUGUCUAGACUCAAAACCUAGUUCUGUUAUUUACUCACUGUGUAACUUCUGGAGCUCAGUUUCCUCAUCUGUAAAAUGGGGAAAACAAUUAUAUCUGUCUCAACAAAUUGUAAGAAUCAAAAUAGAUGACGUAUGUAAGGCUCUUAAAACGGUACCGCCUCUCAACAGAUGUUCUCUGUUACCCUCAUCCUCAUCACCAGUAUUUUCAGUCUUAGAAAUGAUGAUCUUAAAAAAAAAAAAAAAAAAAAAAAAGAAAUGAUGAUCUUGGGGACUUCCCUGGUAGUCCAGUGGUUAAGUCUUUGCCUUCCAGUGCAGGGGGUGUGGGUUUGAUCCCUGGUCGGGGAGCUAAGAUCCCAUGUGCCUUGCUGCCAAAAAGCCAAAAAAACAUAAAACAGAAGCAAUAUUGUAACAAAUUCAAUAAAGACUUUAAAAAUGGUCCACAGUAAAAAAAAGAAAAAAAGAAAUGAUGAUCUUGGUUGCAAAACAUAGAAACACACUCAGACUAACUUAAACCAUGAAAGGAAUUUACUGGAAGAAUUAGGACUCACAGAUUCCAAGGGCAGGACUCCCAGCUGGACCUUACAAGAGAGUGAAAUCUGUACCCAGAAACCCAUUAGGAUCCUACAUACUCACCUUUGUUCCCUCUGAAUCUCCAGUUUCUAACCUUCCUUUCUGUCUUGGUGUCUGCUCCUCUCAUCUUCCUUCUGCAGGCUGGCUUUCUCUUAUCUCUAUACAUGUCCAGCAACUACCCCAGCCCUAAAGCUCAUCAUCUCCCCUCUGCUACACUACCAAUUCAAUAAUUAGUAUUCCAUGUCCAGAAUAGCAGGAAAGAAUCUGAUUGGCCUGGCUUGGGUCAGCUGUCUACCCCUGGUCCAAUCAACUGUGGCCAGUGGGACAGAAUCAUGUAAUACCAUCAUGGCUGCAGGAGACCCACUCUAGUGACGGAGAGCGCUAUUCCUCCCCCUGAGCAUAUUCUCUUUCUUUUUUCUUUUUUUUGGGGGGAGCGGGGGGCUGCAUUCUGUCUUUGUUGCUUUCUCUAGUUGUGGUGAGCGGGGGUUACUCUCUGUUGCAGUGUGCGGGCUUCUCAUUGUGGUGGCUUCUCUUGUUGCAGAGCAUGGGUUCUAGGCACCCAGGCUUCAGUACUUGUGCUCGUGGGCUCAGUAGUUGUGGCUUGCAGGCUCUAGAGCACAGGCUCAGUAGUUGUGGCACACAGGCUUAGCUGCUUCAUGGCAUGUGGGAUCUUCCCAGACCAGGGAUCGAACCCAUGUCCCCUGCAUUGGCAGGCAGAUUCUUAACCACUGGGCCACCAGGGAAGUCCUGAGCACAUUCUCUUUCUGUGGAGUUUAGAGAGUACCCUUGCCAGAAAAUUACUAUUUUUUCUAUAGCCAACUUUGCAAUCUCAUUCGUAUUGCCUUUAUCCUGGCUUAUUUUUUCCCUCAUAAUGCUUAUUACUAAAUGGAAUCACGUAGUGUAUUUGUACAUGUUUAUUGUCUCUCUUACUGUGAAGAAGAUAAGAUUGAGCCAGGCAAUAAGUUUUUCUUACUCUUGGUUGUAACCAUAGCACCUGGCACAUUGCUUGACACAUAAUAGGGAGUCAGGUAAAGAGCUCAUGAUGAGGACGUCCCUGGUGGCACAGUGGUUAAGA